rnacentral:rRNA from 1 species
AUAUUGGCGAGAGACCGAUAGCGAACAAGUACCGUGAGGGAAAGGUGAAAAGCACUUUGGAAAGAGAGUUAAACAGUACGUGAAAUUGCUGAAAGGGAAACGCUUGAAGUCAGUCGCGUUGUCCGGAACUCAGCCUUGCUUCGGCUUGGUGCAUUUUCCGGGCGACGGGCCAGCAUCGAUUUUGACCGUCGGAAAAGGGCUGAGGGAAUGUGGCACCUUCGGGUGUGUUAUAGCCUUCAGUCGCAUACGGCGGUUGGGAUCGAGGAACGCAGCACGCCUUAUGGCUGGGGUUCGCCCACAUUCGUGCUUAGGAUGCUGGCAUGAUGGCUUUAAUCGGUCCGUCUUGAAACACGGACC